GUGAAGAUGGCAAUGACGGCUGCAGUCCAAGCCCUAGUGGGCAGAUGAGGAGCAGCCCCUCUCCUUAAAAAUAAAGCCGGAUUCCUAACAUUCUCUUCAACCCACGGCUGUGCAGGGCAGAGUCUCAACACAGGAAUUGGAACAUAACAAAUCUGCCGACUGCCAGCUUUGAUCUCACAAGGAUGGAGUUGGGGAGGUGAAGAGAAAGUAAAUGCUCUCUCGACUUUCCAAAGGAAAACAAUUUUCUUUCUUGCAGGGGUGCCAGUUACAGCUGAUGAUGGCUGACGUUGGGAGAUUUCAAAGGUGCCUGGGUCUGGAAAAUUCUCACCCAUCAAGAGGAGAAAAUCUAACUAAAAUAUUUUCACCCAUUUUAUGUCACUGAUGGCUGCAAAGUGAACCCAGGGCGCCUCUGUGGCUGGAGAGACAGGUGCUGCACCAGGGAGACAGGAGUCCAAGUGAAUUUUUGAAAAGAACGCUCUGAAAUUUGGCUGGUGAAAAAAGCAAAGACCAGGCAUUGCAACCUGGGCUCUGACCUCAACAACGUGUGUCACCUUGGGCAGGCCCCCUUUGCUGCCUCCUAAUUUCCCCAUCUAGGGUGGAAGUUUUAUUAAAGAGGAGGAGGGAGUUUUGAAAUCAAACUGACUUGGAAUCUUGGUUCUACCACUUGCUAACUGCAGGGCUUUCCUUAACCUUUCUACCUUACCUAUCUGGACUCAUGUAGCCUCAUCUGGUAAGUGACAGCGAUAUUCUAUAUCUUUAGGCAGUGCCAAAUUACCUUAAAGAAGGGCUAAGCACAUGUUUGGGGCACUAGAAAAGUAGAGUACCAGGGGAAGAAAAAGUGUGAGAUAAUCAGGAGGUCUAGAAUCAAAAGCUGCUUAAAUUUUGGCAUUAUGAGAGCGUCGUGUCAUUCUGAAAAAUAAUUUAAAAGUACUUAAUAUAUUUAAUUGAAAAUUAUAUAUGGAAUGUAUGGGUGUGCAUUAUAUAUAGAAUAUGCUUUGCUCCUUGGAAUGCUGUGAGAUUGAAUGCAAUUAUACAUAUAAAAUAAUUAACACAGUGCCUAGAAGUUGGAAGAACUCUGUAAAUAGUUGUAGCAGCUACUGUUGGUAAAUGAGUAAGCUACAUUCCAAAAUAUCUGCAGUCCUUUUUUAAGCCCCAGUGUUCUAGGAUUCUGCCUGGAGGGAGGAUGCUUAAUUUCAGAUAAUAGCUGCAUCAGGACCAACAUGGGCCAAUGGGGAUUUCCAAAGAAGGAUGGUCCAAAGCACGCUGGGAAAGUUGGCAGGAUUUGCCCUAAGCAUCACUGAAGUUGAUGAUAUGAUGAGACACAGCUCAUCUGGUCUCAAACUAUCUCCCCCAGCAGUCAUGGUACCCAACAUUUUGCAACUAGAAAGAAGCCCAUAUCUGCUAACUCACCAAGACUAGAAACCAUUCUUGAUGUCACUAUGAUGUACAUCAUUUUACCUAAGAUUUACUUAUCUACCUAUAUCCAUCCAUCCAUCCAUCCAUACAUCCAUCCAUCCAUCCAUCCAUCCAUCCAACAUCAGGAACCUUCUGAAGGCUAACUGCACCAUAUGGUGGAUAUGAUGGAUAGAUUUUAGUCCUCUUUCGUUGUUGGCACUCCAAAUUUGGGAUGGGAAUUGUCAUUGAGCAGCUAUUCUGUGCUAUCUAGACGCUUUAGACACAUUAUCCCACUUAAUCCUAAUGACGGCACUAAGAGCUAUAGAUAACAAUGUUUAUAAGGUAAUAAUAGCUACGAUUUAUUGAGUGUUACUAUGUACUGGCCACUGUGCUUAGCCUUUUAUAUGAGAUAUCACAUUUAAUGUCCCCAACAGUUUUGAGAAGAACUCUUAUUUCUUUGAUUUACCAUUAUUGCCCAGCUUCAGAAAGGUUAAGUGACUAGCCCAAGGUCACACGGCACAUUAGAGGUCAAAGCAAGCCUCUUUCCCUGGUCUUUGUAAUUCCAGGUUGGUCACUGUCUGCUUCACUGUGCCUCUAGCUAACUGAUUUUCUCUUGGAGGGAGGCAUGCGGGCUCCCAACCUCACUAGACAAUCAUGGGAGGAGGAAAGACAAGGGCUUUCUCACAGAGUUAACUCUCCACUCCUUGCCCCCUGGGGAAGGGCACCCCCUCCUGAGCAUCCUGACAGGUCAGCCUGCACUCAAAGUAGCCUUUCGGGGGGCCCUUGAUGGCUCCCAGAUGGGAACGCACACAGCUGUCAGGUGCUUCCGAGAGUCUCUGGAUCCUAAGAGCACUGGCGGUGUGCCUGUAGGAUUAAUUGCUUCUCUGGCUUCCAGCAGGGAAGCGGGGUGUGGUAACAUCUUGGCUUGGUUAAGGAUGAAGGGGCAGGCACACAGGUGGCAGAGAGCAUGCCUCUGUAGCACAGGAUCAGAGGAAACUAUGUGGCUGAGAACAGCUCCUGGUAGGUAGGGAAGCCCAUGAGGACCUCACUUCCCCUAGAAGGAAGAUGUCAGAAGCUGAUGUCCUUUCCCCCUGUGCAGUUCUAAAAUUAUGUAACUGGAAGAGGUGCCACAGGAAAACCUGUUUCUAUCAUCCUUAUUCGUUCUGUGUGGUCUUCCUCCUUGUCUUUCUUACAAUUCUUCUUCCACAGUUAAUUUUUUUCAGGCACCUUCUAUAUCUCAUGCUCUGGAAAUACCAAGAUGAACCAUGCAGACCCUGACCCCAUGGAGUUGAGAGUCUGGUGGUGGAAGACAGACAUCAUCAAACGCUGGCACAAAUAAAGGCACAUUUAUUUACUUGAGGGGUUACAUGUUAAGUCACGGAGGCACAGAUUCUAGAGGAGCCAGUAGCAGGGCCUGAGCUUGGUCCAGGGUUGGCCAGGAAGCUCUUUCCUGCAGAAGUAAUGCUUGCACUCAGGACCAAAAGAUGACCAGGUGAAGAGUCACCUCACUCCUUGAAACCUCAGUUUCCUUCUUUGUAAAGUGGGAUGAUAGUAACACCUACAUUCCAGGAUAUUUGUGAGGAUAAACUGAGAUGACACAGGUGAAAAUGAGUAGUACGGAGUCUGGUACAUAGUCAGUGCCCAUCGUAUCAUGGCUUUGGCCAUAGUCCCUCGAUGUGAAGUGAAGUUCCCAUAGAUUGGAAGGCCUAUCGUUGACUUAGAAACUGCUGCCCAAGGGACAAAGAAGAAUGCAAGCCCACUAUGUGAAAUGGAAGCACACAGAAAAGGAAGGGCCUCACUCUGCUCUCUCUCUUCUGUGUGUGUGUGUGUGUGUGUGUGUGUGUGUGUGUGUGUGUGUAUGAUGAGAAGUUUGCACAGAGAAGCUGGUGUUUAGGCCAGGUCCUGAAUGGUAGAUAGCAGUUUACAAGAGAAAAGGGGGAGGAAGGGUGUCAGAGAUAAAAGGAACAUCAAUGCAAAGUGAUACAAGGAUGAGAAUGAGUGUCAUCCGCCUUGUCAGAUGCCUGGGGAAAUUCCAAUGGGCACAUGGAACAGAUCCCCAAACAAAACAACCUUUAAUAACACAAUACUAUUACUCCUAAUGGCAAUAACGGCAAAAGCAAUAAUCACAAUGACCACAAUAGCAACAGCCGUUACCAUGCAUUGACAGGUUACUCUCUUUCAGGCACUGUACAUGGGUAACUUCACCUGAAAUGCUGAAAAUAAAUCUUGCUCAUUCUUUCCUGGGAUAUAGUGAAUGACUUCAUGCCCUACAUUGUAUGGGCUACCCACAUAGGUGAGGAAUUGAGGAUACAGCCAUGGAGGAUUUUUCUGUUAAACCUCAGAAGGGAUGCUCUCAAUUUCUGCAAGGCUCUCCUGGGCAACAUGAACGGUCCAGACAAGUUCAUUCAUUUUUUUGUUUUUCUGGAGGGUUAAAUGGGGGAUAGAGUAUUCAGGAGGUAGGUUUAGCUCAGUCCAAGGAUGGCUACAAAGAGCUGUGGUAGGUAGUGCUCUGACAAAGAGUUCCCUGUCGUGGGGAUAUUCAAGUGUAACUCAGUUAAUUUCUUGUUGGGGAUGUUCUGAGCAUGGUCAGAACAAAGAGAAAGGGAAAUUCAGGGGGAAUUGGUCUAGAAGAUCCCUUCAAUUCCAGGAUGCUGUGGUUUCAGGAAGGCAGGAAUGAUCUACCAUGAAAGGUUUUUACAACAGUAGGAAACAUCAUCAUCUUGGCUUUGCCUGUCUCCAGGAGGCUUGAAUGUGAUUUGCAUAACCACAGGGGGAUGGAUGUCUUGAUCUUUCACAGUUUUUUUCCAGCCCUUAGAAUCAUUCUGGUCUUUGCUUGCAACCUCCUUUAGAACCAUAUCCUGAGCCACCUCCAUCCUUCUCCCAAAUUAUUGUAACAACUUCUGAGUAGGUCCCCUAGCACUCUAUAAUCUACCCUCCACACAGAAGCAAAAGCUAUCAUAUAAAAUAAAAAUCGGAUAUAUUUUCCCCCUACAGUUGUAACUUAUGACCAUAGCCGUCCCCAACCCAACUGGUUCUCCCAUUCCACCUCCCCUCACCUAAUGUGCACAAACCACUCUCCCUUCUUUUCUGACUCACAAACAUUCAGGGCUUUUGCCUUUCCUCUGUCUGAGCCCUCUUCCCCUAGGACUUUGCAAGGCCAGUUUUUUUCUCAUCGUUAAAUUCCCAGCUCAACUGUCACCCCAGACAGGGCUCUCUGACCAGUCUCCAGUCACUCCAUCCGGACGACCCUUUUAAUUUUCCUUUCAGCAUUUAUCUAGCUGGGCCUGGUGAUGUGUGUCUGUAGUUUCAGCCACUCGGGAGGCUGAGGAAGGAGGAUUGCUGGAGCCCAGGAGUUCAAGGCUGCAGUGAGCUGUGAUCAUCACUUUGCUCCAGUCUGGAUGACAGAGCGAGACCCUGUCUCUAAAACAUAAAUAAAUAGGCCAGGUUUGGUGGCUCAUGCCUGUAAUCCCAGCACUUUUGGAGGCUGAAGCCAGUGGAUUGUUUGAGCCCAGGAAUUUGAGACCAGCCUGGACAACAGGUGAAACCCUGUUUCUAGGAAAAGCAAAAAUUAGCCAGGCAUAGUGGUACAUACCUGUGGUCCCAGAUACUCAGGAGGCUGAUGUGAAAGGACCACCUGAGCCUGGGAAGUUGAGGCUGCAGUGAGCUGAGACUGCUCCACUGAACUCUAGCCUGGGCGGCAGAGUGAGACCCUGUCUCUAAAUACAUAAAUAAAAUAAGUAAAGCACUUUUCAGUAUCUUUCUGGAAUUCUUAUCUAUUUGUUAACAUAUGUAUGGUCUUUUUCUGCUGCUGAGAGGUGAAGCCAGCUGGACUUCCUGGCUCGAGUAGGGACUUGGAGAACUUUUCUGUCUAGUUAGAGGUUUGUAAAUGCACCAAUCAGCGCUUUGUGUCUAGCCAAAGGAUUGUAAAUGCACCAAUCAGCAACUCUGUAAAAUGGACCAAUCAGCACUCUGUAAAAUGGACCAAUCAGCACUCUGUAAAAUUGACCAAUCAGCAGGAUGUGGGAGGGGACAAAUAAGGAAAUAAAAGCUGACCACCCCAGCCAGCGGGGGCGACGUGGUGGGGUCCAUUUGUAGGUUGUGGAGGAUUUGAUCUUUUGCUCUUGGAAAUAAAUCUUGCUGCUGCGCGCGCUCUCUCUCUGGGUGCAUGCUGCUUUUAAGAGCUGUGAUACUCACCAGGAAGGUCCGUGGUUUCAUUCUGGAAGUCAGCGAGACCAAGAACCCACCAGAAGGAACCAACUACAGACACACUGCUAUAUGUAAGCUUCUUGGGAGCAGGGUCUUGGUUUUUUUUCUUUCUUUCCUUCUUUUCUUCUUAACUUUCCCCCUUCCCCUUCCCUUUCGCCUUUCCUUCCUUUCCUUCCUUUUUUUUUUGAGACGUAGUCUUGCUCUGUUGCCCAGGCUGGAGCCCAGUGGCACAAUCUCCCCUCAUUGCAACCUUUGCCUCCAGAGUUCAAGUAGUUCUCCUGCCUCUGCCUCCCGAGUAGGUGGGAUUACAGGUGCCUGCCACCACACCUGGGUCCAGCUAUGUACAAACUGAAUCAAGAUUCUAUGUACAUCAGAAUCAAGAGAGAGUGAGUUCUUGACAUCACGGAGCGGUCUACAUUCUAGUUCAUGCGGUGGACCUGCUGGGUGGCCUCAGGACCUGAAAUAAAACCAUACGUUGGCUCUCCUGAGUCUCCACCUUCUUGACUGCAGAUUUGGGACUUCUCAGCCUCCAUAAAUAUGUGAGCCAACUCCUUAUAAUAAAUCUCUUUCUAUGUGUGUAUGCGUGUAUAAGUAUAAGGUUGGAAAUAUAUUGGUCUGCUUCUGUGGCAAACCCUGACUAAUUCAAAUAUCCAGGAGUGGAAUGACUGUAUCAUAUGGUAGGUGUGUGUUUAAAUUUCUGGAAGUGGUUCAACUCUUUUCCAAAGUUGUUGUUCCAUUUACGUUCCCACCAACAGUGUAUUAGAGUUCCCCUUGCUCCAUGUCUUUACCAACACUUAGUAUGAUCAGUUUUGUUUUUAAAGUUCAGUCAUUUUCGUAAGUGUGCAGUGGCAUAUUAUUGUGAUAUUAAUUGUAUUUCCCUAAUGACUAAGGAUGUUGACUAUCUUUUCAAGUGUCCAAAGAAGAUAUAGUAAAUAGCAAAUAAGCACAUGAAAAAAUAUAUGAAUGAACACGAGUGGUCAUUCAACUCCUAGAUAUUUG
rnacentral:lncRNA from 1 species